UUAUUAGAAUCGGGGUGCUCUUAAGGAUAAGAGCUGAGAUAAAACCCAUUUAACCUGAUCUGGAUAAUACCAGCGUAGGGAGGUAUUCAUGAAUUUUU
rnacentral:ncRNA from 1 species